rnacentral:rRNA from 1 species
CAAAAANGACUCUCGGCAACGGAUAUCUCGGCUCUCGCAUCGAUGAAGAACGUAGCGAAAUGCGAUACUUGGUGUGAAUUGCAGAAUCCCGUGAACCAUCGAGUCUUUGAACGCAAGUUGCGCCCGAAGCCAUUAGGCUGAGGGAACGUCUGCCUGGGCGUCACGCAU